rnacentral:rRNA from 1 species
CCCUUAGAGUUUGAUCCUGGCUCAGGAUGAACGCUGGCGGCGUGCUUAACACAUGCAAGUCGAGCGAAGCACUUGGAACGGAUCCUUCGGGUGAAGUUCCAUUUGACUGAGCGGCGGACGGGUGAGUAACGCGUGGGUAACCUGCCUCAUACAGGGGAAUAACAGUUUGAAAAGACUGCUAAUGCCGCAUAAGCGCACAGGGCCGCAUGGCCCGGUGUGAAAAACUCCGGUGGUAUGAGAUGGACCCGCGUCUGAUUAGCUAGUUGGUGAGGUAACGGCCCACCAAGGCGACGAUCAGUAGCCGACCUGAGAGGGUGACCGGCCACAUUGGGACUGAGACACGGCCCAAACUCCUACGGGAGGCAGCAGUGGGGAAUAUUGCACAAUGGGGGAAACCCUGAUGCAGCGACGCCGCGUGGAUGAAGAAGUAUUUCGGUAUGUAAAGUCC